rnacentral:rRNA from 1 species
GACGAACGCUGGCGGCGUGCUUAACACAUGCAAGUCGAACGGAAAGGCCCUGCUUUUGUGGGUUGCUCGUUUGGCGAACGGGUGAGUAACACGUGAGUAACCUGCCCUUGACUUUGGGAUAACUUCAGGGAACUGGGGCUAAUACCGGAUAUGAGCUCCUGCUGCAUGGUGGGGGUUGGAAAGUUUCGGCGGUUGUGGAUGGACUCGCGGCUUAUCAGCUUGUUGGUCGAGUAGUGACUUACCAAGUCUUUGACGGGUAGCCGGCAUGAGAGGUUGGACGGGGACCAUGCGACUACGAGACGGAGCAGUCGGCUAUGGGACGCAGCAGGGGAGAAUCUGACGGAAUGGCGGGACGUCAGUUGCGGAAACGCCGGGAGCGGGAUGCUGGCUUUCGAGUGGAAAACCGCUGUGGACGGAGAUGAAGAGAGAGUGACGGUAACGGGUAAAGAAGCACCGGCUAACUACGUG